CCAUCUGGGACCAUGAGAGGCAUCUGAUUGUAGUACACCACACAAGGGCUUUCAUGGUUGUGGACACCAUCAUAAGUUGUUAUCACAUAUCUUGAGUCUUCUCUGUCCCUUUCUACUCUUUUCUUUACAUUGCAUCCACCAGUUGAACAUUUAUAGUAGUUCCUCGGAUUAGGGCUGUUCUUGACUGAUUUCUUGCCGUACUUCCUCCACUUAAAUCCAUCAUCCAUGAUCUCCAAAUCCGAUUUGGUUCUAAAUGCAACCCUAUGUGCCACUUCAGCCUUGUCUUUCUUGACUUCCUUUUUGCAUUUAUUGCUGCUAGCAUUUCUUGAUGUUACACCACCCCCACCGCCACCACCACCACCACCACCACUUCC
rnacentral:misc_RNA from 1 species